rnacentral:lncRNA from 1 species
GCAAAUAGAAUAUGCUAGUAACAGUUUUCAAGCAGAUAAAUCAUAGCUAGUAAUUGCUGUUAACGCAAUAACCUGACAGUAUAUUACAGAGUAAACACCAUUAUUUAGGAUGUGUAAUUAACCCACACAUUUAGAAAUAGCAGAUGCUAUGAUAACAAAGCUAAUUCAAUAGAGAAAGUCAAAUGGAACUGCUUGACUACUUUUUAUUUUUGGUGUAAAGAGGAAGGGAUAGAAGAAGCUGAACAAAUUUUGGAUUUUAUAGGCACUUUGUAAUCUAUUAGCCUUUUAUGUUUUUUCUCUUGUUGGAAACCAAUUUUUGGAGGUGAGGUCUCCAGCAUAUCCUUAAUGAUGAUGAAUACAACAUUACCUUUAUCCAAAAAAAAAAAAGAUUAACCCACACAUCAUUCAUUGCACUCAUUUGGUUUAUUCAAAACCAAAAGCACAUCCUCAUAAAGUUAAACCACUGUUUCUAGUGAAAUCUUCCUGUAC